UCACUACUUGCGUAGGCAGUCUCUCUAGAGUGCCCAGCUUUACCUGAUGGCAACUAGAGACAGGGGUUGCGCUCGUUGCGGGACUUAACCCAACAUCUCACGACACGAGCUGACGACGGCCAUGCAGCACCUGUGUCCAGGCUCUCUUUCGAGCACCCAACCAUCUCUGAUCAGUUCCUGGCAUGUCAAGGGUAGGUAAGGUUUUUCGCGUUGCAUCGAAUUAAACCACAUCAUCCACCGCUUGUGCGGGUCCCCGUCAAUUCCUUUGAGUUUUAGCCUUGCGGCCGUACUCCCCAGGCGGAGUGCUUAACGCGUUAGCUGCGGCACUGGAGGGGUCAAUACCCCCAACGCCUAGCACUCAUCGUUUACGGCGUGGACUAC
rnacentral:misc_RNA from 1 species